UACGGAGGGGGCUAGCGUUGUUCGGAAUUACUGGGCGUAAAGCGCACGUAGGCGGCUUUGCAAGUUAGAGGUGAAAGCCCGGGGCUCAACUCCGGAAUUGCCUUUAAAACUGCAUCGCUAGAAUUGUGGAGAGGUAAGUGGAAUUCCGAGUGUAGAGGUGAAAUUCGUAGAUAUUCGGAAGAACACCAGUGGCGAAGGCGGUUCUCUGGGCCUGUACUGACGCUGAGGAGCGAAAGCGUGGGGAGCGAACAGG
rnacentral:rRNA from 1 species